AAUGGGUCAGCGACUUAUAUUCUGUAGCAAGGUUAACCGAAUAGGGGAGCCGAAGGGAAACCGAGUCUUAACUGGGCGUUAAGUUGCAGGGUAUAGACCCGAAACCCGGUGAUCUAGCCAUGGGCAGGUUGAAGGUUGGGUAACACUAACUGGAGGACCGAACCGACUAAUGUUGAAAAAUUAGCGGAUGACUUGUGGCUGGGGGUGAAAGGCCAAUCAAACCGGGAGAUAGCUGGUUCUCCCCGAAAGCUAUUUAGGUAGCGCCUCGUGAAUUCAUCUCCGGGGGUAGAGCACUGUUUCGGCAAGGGGGUCAUCCCGACUUACCAACCCGAUGCAAACUGCGAAUACCGGAGAAUGUUAUCACGGGAGACACACGGCGGGUGCUAACGUCCGUCGUGAAGAGGGAAACAACCCAGACCGCCAGCUAAGGUCCCAAAGUCAUGGUUAAGUGGGAAACGAUGUGGGAAGGCCCAGACAGCCAGGAUGUUGGCUUAGAAGCAGCCAUCAUUUAAAGAAAGCGUAAUAGCUCACUGGUCGAGUCGGCCUGCGCGGAAGAUGUAACGGGGCUAAACCAUGCACCGAAGCUGCGGCAGCGACGCUUAUGCGUUGUUGGGUAGGGGAGCGUUCUGUAAGCCUGUGAAGGUGUGCUGUGAGGCAUGCUGGAGGUAUCAGAAGUGCGAAUGCUGACAUAAGUAACGAUAAAGCGGGUGAAAAGCCCGCUCGCCGGAAGACCAAGGGUUCCUGUCCAACGUUAAUCGGGGCAGGGUGAGUCGACCCCUAAGGCGAGGCCGAAAGGCGUAGUCGAUGGGAAACAGGUUAAUAUUCCUGUACUUGGUGUUACUGCGAAGGGGG
rnacentral:rRNA from 1 species